rnacentral:tRNA from 1 species
GUCUUCGUGAUGUAGUGGUCAACACACUCGACGCGUAAUCGAUAGGUCCGUGGUUCGAUUCCCGGCGAGGAUA